rnacentral:rRNA from 1 species
GGGCCCGCACAAGCGGUGGAGCAUGUGGCUUAAUUCGAUGCAACGCGAAGAACCUUACCCGGGCUAAAUCCACGAUGACCGGUCCCGAAACGGACCUUCCCUUCGGGGCAUCAUGGAAGGUGCUGCAUGGCUGUCGUCAGCUCGUGCCGUGAGGUGUUGCCUUAAGUGGCGCAACGAGCGCAACCCCUGUGGUUAGUUACCAGCACGUAAUGGUGGGGACUCUAGCCAGACUGCCUACGCAAGUAGUGAGGAAGGUGGGGACGACGUCAAGUCAUCAUGGCCCUUAUGUCCGGGGCUGCACACGUGCUACAAUGGAUGGUACAGAGGGAAGCCACCACGCAAGUGGGCGCAGAUCUCGAAAGCCAUUCCCAGUUCGGAUUGGAGUCUGCAACUCGACUCCAUGAAGGUGGAAUC